rnacentral:rRNA from 1 species
GAUGAACGCUGACAGAAUGCUUAACACAUGCAAGUCCACUUGAACUUCGGUUUGGGUGGCGGACGGGUGAGUAACGCGUAAAGAACUUGCCUCACAGAUAGGGACAACAUUUGGAAACGAAUGCUAAUACCUGAUAUUAUGAUUAUAUGGCAUCGUAUAAUUAUGAAAGCUAUAUGCGCUGUGAGAGAGCUUUGCGUCCCAUUAGCUAGUUGGAGAGGUAACGGCUCACCAAGGCGAUGAUGGGUAGCCGGCCUGAGAGGGUGAUCGGCCACAAGGGGACUGAGACACGGCCCUUACUCCUACGGGAGGCAGCAGUGGGGAAUAUUGGACAAUGGACCAAGAGUCUGAUCCAGCAAUUCUGUGUGCACGAUGAAGUUUUUCGGAAUGUAAAGUGCUUUCAGUUGGGAAGAAAAAAAUGACGGUACCAACAGAGGAAGUGACGGCUAAAUACGUG